UAGGGAAUCUUCCGCAAUGGGCGAAAGCUUGACGGAGCAACGCCGCGUGAGUGAUGAAGGUCUUCGGAUCGUAAAACUCUGUUAUUAAGGAAGAACAAAUGUGUAAGUAACUAUGCACGUCUUGACGGUACCUAAUCAGAAAGCCACGGCUAACUACGUGCCAGCAGCCGCGGUAAUACGUAGGUGGCAAGCGUUAUCCGGAAUUAUUGGGCGUAAAGCGCGCGUAGGCGGUUUUUUAAGUCUGAUGUGAAAGCCCACGGCUCAACCGUGGAGGGUCAUUGGAAACUGGAAAACUUGAGUGCAGAAGAGGAAAGUGGAAUUCCAUGUGUAGCGGUGAAAUGCGCAGAGAUAUGGAGGAACACCAGUGGCGAAGGCGACUUUCUGGUCUGUAACUGACGCUGAUGUGCGAAAGCGUGGGGAUCAAACAGG
rnacentral:rRNA from 2 species